rnacentral:rRNA from 1 species
AGUGAACGCUGGCGGUAGGCCUAACACAUGCAAGUCGAACGGCAGCACAGUAAGAGCUUGCUCUUACGGGUGGCGAGUGGCGGACGGGGGAGGAAUACAUCGGAAUCUACUUUUUCGUGGGGGAUAAAGUAGGGAAAAUUACGCUAAUAACGCAUACGACCUACGGGUGAAAGCAGGGGAACUUCGGACCUUGCGCGAUUGAAUGAGCCGAUGUCGGAUUAGCUAGUUGGCGGGGUAAAGGCCCACCAAGGCGACGAUCCGUAGCUGGUCUGAGAGGAUGAUCAGCCACACUGGAACUGAGACACGGUCCAGACUCCUACGGGAGGCAGCAGUGGGGAAUAUUGGACAAUGGGCGCAAGCCUGAUCCAGCCAUACCGCGUGGGUGAAGAAGGCCUUCGGGUUGUAAAGCCCUUUUGUUGGGAAAGAAAAGCAGCAGGUUAAUACCCCGCUGUUCUGACGGUACCCAAAGAAUAAGCACCGGCUAACUUCGUG